rnacentral:rRNA from 1 species
UACAGAGGUCUCAAGCGUUGUUCGGAUUCAUUGGGCGUAAAGGGUGCGUAGGUGGCGCGCUAAGUCAGGUGUGAAAUUUCGGAGCUUAACUCCGAAACUGCAUUUGAUACUGGCGUGCUUGAGGACUGGAGAGGAGACUGGAAUUCAUGGUGUAGCAGUGAAAUGCGUAGAUAUUGGGAAGAACACCGGUGGCGAAGGCGGCGCUCUGGACCGAUACUGACGCGUGAGGCGCGAAAGCGUGGGGAGCAAACAGG